UAAUAGGUUUUGCCCAGACUGAAAAGAUCAUCUCACUUAACCUUUUUAAACAUCAUGACAGCUGUUUCUUCACCUUCUGGGAGCUUCCUUGUUUUCACAAGAUGUACUGAAAACCAGCUUUAAGAAUCUGAGUUGGAAUUGUUUCUUUAGUACAUUCAGAGCUCAUCACGAAAGGAUCACACAGAAUGAAUCCUGUGAGCAAAGGUAAUUGGCACUGUACCAGCUAAUGCUGCAGCCUUGUAUGUCAGGAAGAGCCUUUGUGGGAGCGUGUUUCAGUAGGAGGAGUUCAGACUUUUCCCAGCAUGUUCCAGAGCCCAUCUCUCUCAGCUCAGAAGCCUUGGAAGGACUACGCAGCGCAGCCUUCUCCUUUCUCCCAGGCUUGGGAAACAUACAGCUCUGAACGUGGGAGAAAACAGGGUUACCUGUCGAUGUGUAUUAAUUUGCUUCUCCCAGAAAACAACUAUGAUCCUGAGAAAUUUCACCUGAAGUAAGGUACUGUUUGUACAUUCUAUACAGUGUUUCGCAACAGCGAUUUAUUUUCCUUCGAAGGGUUUGAGGGUUUCUU
rnacentral:lncRNA from 1 species